rnacentral:rRNA from 1 species
UACGUAGGGUGCAAGCGUUGUCCGGAAUUAUUGGGCGUAAAGAGCUUGUAGGCGGUUUGUCGCGUCUGCUGUGAAAUUUCGGGGCUCAACCCCGAACUUGCAGUGGGUACGGGCAGACUAGAGUGUGGUAGGGGAGACUGGAAUUCCUGGUGUAGCGGUGAAAUGCGUAGAUAUCGGGAGGAACACCAGUGGCGAAGGCGGCACUCUGGGCCGGAACUGACGCUGAGGAGCGAAAGCGUGGGGAGCGAACAGG